rnacentral:rRNA from 1 species
AAGUCGAGCGCACUCUUAUGAGUGAGCGGCAGACGGGUGAGUAACGCGUGGGAAUCUACCCUUUUCUACGGAAUAACACAGAGAAAUUUGUGCUAAUACCGUAUACGUCCUACUGGAGAAAGAUUUAUCGGAGAAGGAUGAGCCCGCGUUGGAUUAGCUAGUUGGUGAGGUAAAGGCUCACCAAGGCGACGAUCCAUAGCUGGUCUGAGAGGAUGAUCAGCCACACUGGGACUGAGACACGGCCCAG